rnacentral:rRNA from 1 species
UUAAGUUAUUAAGGGCGCACGGUGGAUGCCUUGGCACUAGAAGCCGAUGAAGGACGUUACUAACGACGAUAUGCUUUGGGGAGCUGUAAGUAAGCUUUGAUCCAGAGAUUUCCGAAUGGGGAAACCCAGCAUGAGUUAUGUCAUGUUAUCGAUAUGUGAAUACAUAGCAUAUCAGAAGGCACACCCGGAGAACUGAAACAUCUUAGUACCCGGAGGAAGAGAAAGAAAAUUCGAUUCCCUUAGUAGCGGCGAGCGAAACGGGAAGAGCCCAAACCAACAAGCUUGCUUGUUGGGGUUGUAGGACACUCUAUACGGAGUUACAAAGGACGACAUUAGACGAAUCAUCUGGAAAGAUGAAUCAAAGAAGGUAAUAAUCCUGUAGUCGAAAAUGUUGUCUCUCUUGAGUGGAUCCUGAGUACGACGGAGCACGUGAAAUUCCGUCGGAAUCUGGGAGGACCAUCUCCUAAGGCUAAAUACUCUCUAGUGACCGAUAGUGAACCAGUACCGUGAGGGAAAGGUGAAAAGCACCCCGGAAGGGGAGUGAAAUAGAACCUGAAACCGUGUGCUUACAAGUAGUCAGAGCCCGUUAAUGGGUGAUGGCGUGCCUUUUGUAGAAUGAACCGGCGAGUUACGAUUUGAUGCAAGGUUAAGCAGUAAAUGUGGAGCCGUAGCGAAAGCGAGUCUGAAUAGGGCGUUUAGUAUUUGGUCGUAGACCCGAAACCAGGUGAUCUACCCUUGGUCAGGUUGAAGUUCAGGUAACACUGAAUGGAGGACCGAACCGACUUACGUUGAAAAGUGAGCGGAUGAACUGAGGGUAGCGGAGAAAUUCCAAUCGAACCUGGAGAUAGCUGGUUCUCUCCGAAAUAGCUUUAGGGCUAGCCUCAAGUGAUGAUUAUUGGAGGUAGAGCACUGUUUGGACGAGGGGCCCCUCUCGGGUUACCGAAUUCAGACAAACUCCGAAUGCCAAUUAAUUUAACUUGGGAGUCAGAACAUGGGUGAUAAGGUCCGUGUUCGAAAGGGAAACAGCCCAGACCACCAGCUAAGGUCCCAAAAUAUAUGUUAAGUGGAAAAGGAUGUGGCGUUGCCCAGACAACUAGGAUGUUGGCUUAGAAGCAGCCAUCAUUUAAAGAGUGCGUAAUAGCUCACUAGUCGAGUGACACUGCGCCGAAAAUGUACCGGGGCUAAACAUAUUACCGAAGCUGUGGAUUGUCCUUUGGACAAUGGUAGGAGAGCGUUCUAAGGGCGUUGAAGCAUGAUCGUAAGGACAUGUGGAGCGCUUAGAAGUGAGAAUGCCGGUGUGAGUAGCGAAAGACGGGUGAGAAUCCCGUCCACCGAUUGACUAAGGUUUCCAGAGGAAGGCUCGUCCGCUCUGGGUUAGUCGGGUCCUAAGCUGAGGCCGACAGGCGUAGGCGAUGGAUAACAGGUUGAUAUUCCUGUACCACCUAUAAUCGUUUUAAUCGAUGGGGGGACGCAGUAGGAUAGGCGAAGCGUGCGAUUGGAUUGCACGUCUAAGCAGUAAGGCUGAGUAUUAGGCAAAUCCGGUACUCAUUAAGGCUGAGCUGUGAUGGGGAGAAGACAUUGUGUCUUCGAGUCGUUGAUUUCACACUGCCGAGAAAAGCCUCUAGAUAGAAAAUAGGUGCCCGUACCGCAAACCGACACAGGUAGUCAAGAUGAGAAUUCUAAGGUGAGCGAGCGAACUCUCGUUAAGGAACUCGGCAAAAUGACCCCGUAACUUCGGGAGAAGGGGUGCUCUUUAGGGUUAACGCCCAGAAGAGCCGCAGUGAAUAGGCCCAAGCGACUGUUUAUCAAAAACACAGGUCUCUGCUAAACCGUAAGGUGAUGUAUAGGGGCUGACGCCUGCCCGGUGCUGGAAGGUUAAGAGGAGUGGUUAGCUUCUGCGAAGCUACGAAUCGAAGCCCCAGUAAACGGCGGCCGUAACUAUAACGGUCCUAAGGUAGCGAAAUUCCUUGUCGGGUAAGUUCCGACCCGCACGAAAGGCGUAACGAUUUGGGCACUGUCUCAACGAGAGACUCGGUGAAAUCAUAGUACCUGUGAAGAUGCAGGUUACCCGCGACAGGACGGAAAGACCCCGUGGAGCUUUACUGUAGCCUGAUAUUGAAAUUCGGCACAGCUUGUACAGGAUAGGUAGGAGCCUUUGAAACGUGAGCGCUAGCUUACGUGGAGGCGCUGGUGGGAUACUACCCUAGCUGUGUUGGCUUUCUAACCCGCACCACUUAUCGUGGUGGGAGACAGUGUCAGGCGGGCAGUUUGACUGGGGCGGUCGCCUCCUAAAAGGUAACGGAGGCGCUCAAAGGUUCCCUCAGAAUGGUUGGAAAUCAUUCAUAGAGUGUAAAGGCAUAAGGGAGCUUGACUGCGAGACCUACAAGUCGAGCAGGGUCGAAAGACGGACUUAGUGAUCCGGUGGUUCCGCAUGGAAGGG